AUCGCUUCUUGGCCUUUUGGCUAAGAGCAAGUGUAACAUCUGUUCUUACCAGUUUAAUAAUAGUAUCUAUCUGUUAUGGCUGUUGUAAGGAUGGAUCAAUGCAUAUAAAGGCUGAGACAAUACCUAGGACAUAAUAGCACUUGGUAUAUGAGAGCUACUUUCUCAUAACCGAC
ensembl:snRNA U2 U2 spliceosomal RNA